GCUGUUGUAGCUCAGUGGUAGAGCCCUUGCCUAGCACAUAUGAAACACUGGGUUCAAUCCUCAGCACCAGAU
rfam:Ictidomys tridecemlineatus contig052258, whole genome shotgun sequence.